rnacentral:rRNA from 1 species
GAUGAACGCUGGCGGCGUGCCUAAUACAUGCAAGUCGAGCGAAUGAAUUAAGAGCUUGCUCUUAUGAAGUUAGCGGCGGACGGGUGAGUAACACGUGGGUAACCUGCCCAUAAGACUGGGAUAACUCCGGGAAACCGGGGCUAAUACCGGAUAACAUUUUGAACCGCAUGGGUCGAAAUUGAAAGGCGGCUUCGGCUGUCACUUAUGGAUGGACCCGCGUCGCAUUAGCUAGUUGGUGAGGUAACGGCUCACCAAGGCAACGAUGCGUAGCCGACCUGAGAGGGUGAUCGGCCACACUGGGACUGAGACACGGCCCAGACUCCUACGGGAGGCAGCAGUAGGGAAUCUUCCGCAAUGGACGAAAGUCUGACGGAGCAACGCCGCGUGAGUGAUGAAGGCUUUCGGGUCGUAAAACUCUGUUGUUAGGGAAGAACAAGUGCUAGUUGAAUAAGCUGACACCUUGACGGUACCUAACCAGAAAGCCACGGCUAACUACGUGCCAGCAGCCGCGGUAA